GAUGAACGCUAGCGAUAGGCUUAACACAUGCAAGUCGAGGGGUAACGUGUUGGAAGCUUGCUUCCGAUGACGCCGACCGGCGGAUGGGUGCGUAACGCGUAUGCAACUUGCCUCACAGUGGAGAAUAACCCGGAGAAAUCCGGACUAAUGUUCCAUACACUCUUAAGUACUCCUGUACAUGAGAGGAAAGAUUUAUCGCUGUGAGAUAGGCAUGCGUCCUAUUAGGUAGUUGGUGAGGUAACGGCUCACCAAGCCGACGAUAGGUAGGGGUGCUGAGAGGCAGAUCCCCCACAUUGGGACUGAGACACGGCCCAAACUCCUACGGGAGGCAGCAGUGAGGAAUAUUGGUCAAUGGAGGAAACUCUGAACCAGCCAAGUCGCGUGAAGGAAGAAUGUCCUAAGGAUUGUAAACUUCUUUAGCGAGCGAGUAAGGACUUCCACGUGAUGGGAGUUUGAAAGUAGCUCGAGAAUAAGUAUCGGCUAACUCCGUG
rnacentral:rRNA from 1 species